GUGGGGAAUUUUGGACAAUGGGCGCAAGCCUGAUCCAGCAAUGCCGCGUGUGUGAAGAAGGCCUUCGGGUUGUAAAGCACUUUUGGCAGGAAAGAAAUAGCGCGUGCUAAUACCAUGCGCGAAUGACGGUACCUGCAGAAUAAGCACCGGCUAACUACGUGCCAGCAGCCGCGGUAAGACGUAGGGUGCAAGCGUUAAUCGGAAUUACUGGGCGUAAAGCGUGCGCAGGCGGUUUUGUAAGACAGGUGUGAAAUCCCCGGGCUCAACCUGGGAACUGCACUUGUGACUGCAAGGCUAGAGUGUGUCAGAGGGAGGUGGAAGUCCGCGUGUAGCAGUGAAAUGCGUAGAGAUGCGGAGGAACACCGAUGGCGAAGGCAGCCUCCUGGGAUAACACUGACGCUCAGGCACGAAAGCGUGGGGAGCAAACAGGAUUAGAAACCCUUGUAGUCC
rnacentral:rRNA from 1 species